rnacentral:lncRNA from 1 species
CUCUUUAAAAUUUGUAGCACGUUUACAUACCAACGUACGUAUCCUUAAUAUUCCUACCUCAAAAACCAUUUUGAGAAGCAGUGAUCAUCCCUAGCUAUUUUUGACCCCACUUCUUUCCUAGUGUUCAAAGAUAGGAAUCUACCGCAGGCUGAUUUCGGUGUGUUCAGUAUGAAUUUCUGCCCUCUUUGCAUAAACGUGUAAAGGCUUCCCAUGUUAGCCGCGUGCAGACUGCUUCAAUCCCUAGUAGAGGUUGGCUUUUACUCCAGCCAUGUGCAAGAUCAAGUCCACAACUCGGUUACUG